AAGAAGGACUCCUAGGGCUUUUACCUCUCAAGCUGACUUUGGAACAAAGAGCCAGACCCAGGGGUGGGGAGACAGGAGGCUUUCAGCAAAGCCACCCUGAUGUGCUUCCCACCCCCUUGUUGACCCGCCAUACAAACCAGUGUCCAGCCAGUCCACAGAGCAUCCUCCUGGACCCUUGUGAAUCAAGUUGAGGGGAAGGUAGAUAAUACUACUACUAAUAAAGGGCAGAAAGAGUGCAGAAUGCUCCAGGCAGACGCAAGGCCCUCCAGAACUGGGGAAGGCAAUCACGGAGUGUCUGCUGUAAAGAGCCCUUUAAUGGAAGCCAGGAGAUCCAGGUAUAUUUGAAUCUUAACCCUACACUGGCUGCAUGAACUUGAGACAGAAAUUCUCCUCUUAGAGCCUCAGUUUUCCCAUCUGUUUGGUAAGAAGUUUGGAUUGGUUGAUGUUUGAAGAGAUUUUGAGCAGAGAGAGAAUUUGGGUUCUAAGAAGCGCUGUGGGACAGCACGGCCCCGCGAUAUCCUAUAAAUUGGGUUCUUUAAUUCCCCUCCUUUCCUGGGAGGGGGGAGGAAUCUACUUUCCCUGAGCACCAGCAGAUCUGCCUUAAGAGCACAUGGAAGUCAGGCUAGGAGUCUCGGCAAAAUACACCACAUCUGAGGAGACUUCAAGUGCCGUUGCCCUCCCGGUGUGGCAAGAGGGAGAAAUGGGGAGAGGGAAGAAGGAGAUGGGGAGGAGAGGGGGAAGGGGAAUUAAAAUAAUCAGUGGUUGAUAGACCAACCUCCUUAAUGUUCCUCAUGAGUUGUCUGGCUCUUUCUCCAAUUCCUUUUGUCUCUUCCCAACUUCCUCUCACACAGGGUAGUGUUUUUCCCCACCCCCUGGAAUGAAAGAGAAGAGGGUCUGAAAGCCUCUUGGAUUAUAAAAGCCUCUUACUCUUCACGAGGAGCGCAGCAAACUCACUCUGUACUAAAUGCCAGGAUAACCCACUGGCUGGGCCUCUCCUCGGACCCAAGGGUCCCUGGAUGGGGUGGCGGAUCUCUGCUGGAUUCCUGAUGUGCACUGCGUAGAGCUAGGACCCAGGAGUACGGCUAAAAGCUCCAGAGGCCAUCCAGUUCCACUACCUGCGCGCACGUACGCGCGCGCGCGCACACACACACACACAGCCCCUCCUAGCCGGGAUAAGAUCUGAGAUUCCCUUUCUUCCUUCCCCAGGUUUCUGGGAGGCCAGGAACAGCGCUCAGAUCACCUGAGUCUCUCCAAGGAUAGAGACCUCCCCUCCUUUUUCUGGUGUUUACAGAACAGUAAGAAAGCGAGGUUAGGUGCAGAAGGGCCUCGCCAUUCCUGGCCCCCAGGGGGUGUGGGUGCUGAGAGGCGGAGCCAGCGGCCCAGGCCUCUCCGCAUUGGGCGGGCUCGGCAGGUAACCCGAAGCUUGGCGGAGAGGUGCAUAAAUAAAGUGUGGAACUAGCACCACCUCCUUGAAAGGGGCUGAGUCCUACUUCUUCACCUUUGCCUUGGAAAAACCGGCUUCUCUCUCUUUUAUUGUCUGUGCUGAAAGUUCAACUGAGCCCCACCGUACUCCAAGCUCUUUCUUUCUGGCUGAAUUUGCUCCCCUCUCUUCCAUCUCCCCUUUCCUCUGCUUUCAUAUGCUUUUUUAAUUAAAGGUAAAGUGACUGUUCAGGACCGGCCCCCACCUGCCCUCACUCAGGACCCAUUUCUGUUCUGCACGGGCCUGCUCAGCUGGACACUUUAUACAGUAAGUGCUCCUCGUUUCUUAUUCCCGGUCCUCAAACCUUAGGAGUGAAAGAACAUUCCAAGACUUGGAAUUCCUUUUCUUCCUCUCAUGCGCAUGAGUCUCCAGCCAUCCCUUUGUUCUGAAUUAUCUGAUGAAAAAAAUCUAUGUAUUGUUUUGAAUCAAGCUCAGAGGAGGCCCUGUUACCUGAAGGUACAGACACUCAUACUGACAGGUGAGUCUGAAAUCUCUGGAUUGGGGGGUGGGGGGCAUGGGAAAACCAAAGCCAAGAGGCUCCAUUAAGAGAAUCAUUGGGCAAAAAGAGAAGAGAGUGAGCUGUGGAAGAAGCCACAGCCCCUGGAAGUUGGUUAUCAACCUCCCCCAAGGCUAAAAGAACUGAACCUGCUGUAUGUUCACCAAAUCCCCAGUCAGUUCCAUGUUCUCUCGGAGACUGCCAGAGAUCCCAGGCAAUAAAUCUCCCUGAUAAUCGGAACUGGUGUGGUGAGGUGGGAGCUAACCAGUUAAGUACCCUGAUUGCAGUUCUGUCUGGUUUCGUGAAAAUUUACCCAAUGAGAGGAACAGGGGGCUGACUGGCUUUUCAGUCCUGGGCUAGAGGGUGCAGCCCUAACAGGAGAUUCAGGGCCUGGGUUCCGUUCUUUGGUUCUCAUGUCCAAGUUGGUUUUAUUAGGAAGUCAUUUAAGGCACAGUCCUGAAGGCGGUUGGGCAGCACAGGAGGGCAGUCAGGGGAUGAACUUACUCUAUAGCCAAAUACAUGUGUGGUUUGCUUCUCUAAACAAACCCCACAAUGCACGUGGCCAAGGCAAAGGUCACUGGGACAUCAAGUUGGCGAAGGCAUAUUGGGCAGAAGAAUCUUGAACUUGAGGUAUGGGGUCCAGAGUGGGUCAAGGUUCCUGAUACAGGUUUCAGCUCAUCCUUUCCUGUCUGUCAUGUUGCAGCUGCAGGUCUGUAGGGUGAGGGGAGGGUGAUAAGGGAAGGGCCUGCCUUUUCUGGGCUCGCUAAUAUCAGUGCUACCUCCUAUUUGCACGGCCUUUCACAGUUAAAGUGCUUUUACAGACUCUGCCAUCACUGGAGUAUCCACCCUGGAGGUUAAGGACCCCAUAUGAGGGUGAUGCUCUCUGCACACUCCGAUUGAGGAUUUGAAGAAUCUGGUGGACGGUACAUGUUGGGAGGGGUAAGAGUGGGGUAAGGGAGGUCUGGAGGGAGAGGAAUUGUCCCUUGUGCUCUCUGAUUUGGGCUGAAAUCCAGAGAGAAAGCAAAGAAUCCUUCCAUCCCAGAGCUAUUUCCUCCCAUCAUCGCCUGCCAUCAUUUAUCAGAGCCAAACAGGUUGGUCUCUUUCUUCCUUUAACUAUGAAAUGGUUCAAAGACAGUGCAGGGGGACCAUAUCAUCUAGAUCAUUCACAAGUGGGGCACAUUUCUCUCUCAUGAUUGAGAGCCACGCGUGCUUACGAAGAAGCCUGAUGGGAGAGGAUGGGCCAGCCUCCUUCCUCCCGGUACCCAGAUCCCUGCCCAGAGCACACCCUGUGUUCGCCCUGACCAAGGAAAGUGGGGCUCUGCCUCAGCAAUGGCUGGAACCCCGAGCCCUUGUUGAAGAGCCUUUUUUGAGAUGCCCAACGCCCAGGGGGUUGGAUGGGGGGUGGGGAGCCAUGUUACAAGCCGCUGCCUCCCUGCAUUGGGCCAGAACAAGCCCCGGGAAGAAAGUAUUCCAAACAACAGGGUGGAUCUGCCCUAACUCACCCAGUCAGCAAGUCGGUGCUGAGAACAGCCUUUUAUGGGGCUUACACUGAGCCCAGGGCACGUCUGAACACAGCGAGGAAGGGGAGGGGCAGUAACUACAUAGCAACGGGUGGAUGGCAUCUCUUUGUAGGAGGACAGAGAGCUCUCAGAGGGUUUCCAUCCUCUCUGUUUAUCAGUCUCUGAAAUCCAGGUUAUGGCCUCCCUCUCCACAUUCCCCAUCCCCAAGCCCCGAGAAGAUGUACUGGUGCCAUUUCCAGGAAGUUUGGGAAAGCAUGGGGGGCCCCCGGAAAGUGGCCAUCCUAGAUGAGUCUGUAGGAGUGAGAGCAAGAAGGCUCACCCUCAAAAAAAGAAACAAAAACAAACAAACAAAAA